rnacentral:rRNA from 1 species
GUGCCAGCCGCCGCGGUAAGACGAACCGUCCGAACGUUAUUCGGUAUCAAUGGGCUUACAGAGUUCGUAGGCGGCCAGGUAGGUCAGGUGUGAAAUCCCACAGCUCAACUGUGGAAUUGCGCUUGAAACCGCCUGGCUAGAGGGAGACAGAGGUGAGCGGAACUGAUGGUGGAGCGGUGAAAUGCGUUGAUAUCAUCAGGAACACCGGUGGCGAAGGCGGCGCACUGGGUCUCUUCUGACGCUGAGGAACGAAAGCUAGGGGAGCGAACGGGAUUAGAUACCCCGGUAGUCCUAGCCGUAAACGAUGAGCACUCGCCCGUGGGGACCCUCACAUCCUCUCGGGCGUAGCGAAAGUGUCAAGUGCUCCGCCUGGGGAGUAUGGUCGCAAGGCUGAAACUUAAAUGAAUUGGCGGGG